rnacentral:rRNA from 1 species
GAUGAACGCUGGCGGCGUGCCUAAUACAUGCCAGUCGAGCGAACAGACGCGGCGCUUGCUCCUCUGACGUUAGCGGCGCACGGGUGUAUAACACGUGGAUCACCUACCUAUCAGUCUGGGAUAUCUUCGGGACACCGGCGCUAAUCCCGGAUAAGCUCUUGCACCGCGUGGGUCAAUAGUGAAAGACGGUUUUGCGGUAUGUUCUAGCUGGAUCUGAGCCGCAUUAGCUAGUUGGUAAGGUAAAGGCUUACGAAGGCGACGAGGCGUAGCCGACCUGAGAGGUGGAUCGCCCACACUAGAACGUGGACACGGUCCAUACGCCUACGAGAGGCAGCAGUAGGGAAUCGGCCGCAAUGGGCGAAAGCCUGACGCAGCAACGCCGCGCCAGUGAUGAAGGUCUUCGGAGCGUAAAACUCUGUUAUUAGGGAAGAACAAAUGUGUAAGGAACUAUGCACGUCGUGACGGUACCUAAUCAGAAAGCCACGGCUAACUACGUG